AUUGAACGCUGGCGGCAUGCCUUACACAUGCAAGUCGAACGGUAACAGGUCUUCGGAUGCUGACGAGUGGCGAACGGGUGAGUAAUACAUCGGAACGUGCCCGAUCGUGGGGGAUAACGAAGCGAAAGCUUUGCUAAUACCGCAUACGAUCUACGGAUGAAAGCAGGGGACCGCAAGGCCUUGCGCGAACGGAGCGGCCGAUGGGAGAUUAGGUAGUUGGUGGGGUAAAAGCUUACCAAGCCGACGAUCUGUAGCUGGUCUGAGAGGACGACCAGCCACACUGGGACUGAGACACGGCCCAGACUCCUACGGGAGGCAGCAGUGGGGAAUUUUGGACAAUGGGCGAAAGCCUGAUCCAGUCAUGCCGCGUGCAGGAUGAAGGCCUUCGGGUUGUAAACUGCUUUUGUACGGAACGAAAAGACUCUGGUUAAUACCUGGGGUCCAUGACGGUACCGUAAGAAUAAGCACCGGCUAACUACGUG
rnacentral:rRNA from 1 species